CACAUUGGAAAGUACUACAUGCCGAUUUUCAUGGGUCUUUGUAUACUGGGCAACAGUCUAUCUGUGUAUGUGCUCUUUUGCACAAACUACGUUACAACUCAUCCAGCAUCUACUUGGGUGCACUUUCGAUGAGCGACAUUGGUAUGUUGGUGAUGGUGUACAUGAAGAUGUUUAGAAACAUGAAAAUUACAACUCAGGAAAAUUGGUUGCUGCUCUUAUUGAAUUGUUUGCAAAAUGUAUUUUGUUUCCUGAGUGUGUGGAUUGUAGUGGUCUUUACUGUUCAACGAUAUACAGUGAUCAAGUGGCCGCUACUUCGUCGCUUCUUGUGCACAGUUAAUCGAGCGAUGAUCAUAGUGAUUGGACUGGCAGGAUUAGCAGUUUUAUACUGUGUCUCUCUAUGGCUUGUUAUAAGUGACAAAGCGUACGAGAAUUUAAAUAUAGAUGAGACAAUAAUGAUCUGUCAGAUUUUUUAUACCAGUAAUGCUAUUAUAACGUCGUUCUUACCUGCAAUAAUAAUAGUAAUUUUUAAUGCUCUAAUAGUAUACAACAUCCGCAAGCAAAAUCGUAUCCGAAGAAACAUGAUUUCAAGUUUCUCUGCUUCCAGUAAGAACACACAAAGUUCUGACAAUGAAACGUCCGACAUUGAAGUCACAAAAAUGCUUGUUAUUAUUUCAACCUUAUUCAUAUGUUUGAAUGCACCUAGGAACGUCUUUGUACUUUGUUUCCUCUACCAAAUAUUGUAUAUGAAUUUUGACAUAUAUUUACAUAUCAGCGGUUUCUUAUAUGUAAUAAAUUAUGGAACAAAUUUUGUUUUCUACUGCGCAACUGGAAAAAAUUUUCGCAAAGAAUUAAUUUGCAUGUUUAUGAAACGUUCAGAUAGUAGAACGGAAGAUGUACAAUAAAAAAUUUUGAGGAACAGUGCGAUUGAUACUUACUCAUUCAAUUGUCAUAAGGUUUAAAAUUUAUGCUUAAAUAGACUUGGACAAUAGAAAUGGCACAUUUGGUACUGCAUUUGUUAACAAUAUGCAAUAGAAAUAUUCUUAAGGAUUUCUAAAACUCUUGACCACAAAAUCACAAAUAGUAACAUUACAUAAAUAUAGUUAAGUAUAAAUAGGUCAAUAAGCACGUUAGAACUACUAAAACAUAUUAAUAGUAUUAAUAAAAAAAAAUAUAUGAUACACCGACAUAGUGCAUGGAAAAAAAUUACCAGAAUCACAAGUUUAUCAGUUCUGCAACUGAAAGUAGACAAGUACACACUUUGAAAGAAAUGUUGAUCCAUUUAUUGUUAGAAUUAAAUUAUUAUAUCUUGAAUCGAAAAGCAAAUUAAAUUGUCAAUAUUACA